rnacentral:misc_RNA from 1 species
CCUCCUUAACGAUAAAACAUAUCUCAGAUACUAUUUUUAGAAUCUAACAGGUAUCUACACUUUGCUUUUUUUAAUUAACUUUUUAGUUAUUUAACAGAUUGAGAAUAUAUUAUUUUGAAUAAAUUUUAUUUAGAAGCUUAUUAAGUGCUUGAUUAUCUUGCGCUUUUUAUUUUCUAAUUUUAAAAAUUUAUCGAGAUAUAAAUAAAGUAAAAGCAGAUCAUAUCAGGUUAUAUGAUCAAGUGAAUAAGUGCAUACGGUGG